rnacentral:rRNA from 1 species
CGGGACGGGUGAGUAAUGUCUGGGAAACGUGCCUGAUGAGGGGGGAUAACUACUGGAAACGGUAGCUAAUACCGCAUAACGUCGCAAGACCAAAGAGGGGGACCUUCGGGCCUCUUGCCAUCGGAUGUGCCCAGAUGGGAUUAGCUAGUAGGUGGGGUAACGGCUCACCUAGGCGACGAUCCCUAGCUGGUCUGAGAGGAUGACCAGCCACACUGGAACUGAGACACGGUCCAG